UUCCACAGCACGGGGCCACCGAUUGAGCC
rnacentral:sRNA from 1 species